AACGAACGCUGGCGGCAUGCCUAACACAUGCAAGUCGAACGAGACCUUCGGGUCUAGUGGCGCACGGGUGCGUAACGCGUGGGAACCUGCCCUUAGGUUCGGAAUAACUCCCCGAAAGGGGUGCUAAUACCGGAUAAUGUCUUCGGACCAAAGAUUUAUCGCCUUUGGUUGGGCCCGCGUUGGAUUAGCUAGUUGGUAGGGUAAAAGCCUACAAAGGCGACGAUCCAUAGCUGGUCUGAGAGGAUGAUCAGCCACACUGGGACUGAGACACGGCCCAGACUCCUACGGGAGGCAGCAGUGGGUAAUAUUGGACAAUGGGCGAAAGCCUGAUCCAGCAAUGCCGCGUGAGUGAUGAAGGCCUUAGGGUUGUAAAGCCCUUUUACCCGGGAUGAUAAUGACAGUACCGGGAGAAUAAGCUCCGGCUAACUCCGUG
rnacentral:rRNA from 1 species